CCUACGGGAGGCAGCAGUGGGGAAUUUUGGACAAUGGGCGCAAGCCUGAUCCAGCCAUGCCGCGUGCAGGAUGAAGGCCUUCGGGUUGUAAACUGCUUUUGUACGGAACGAAAAGGUCUUUUUAAUAAAGAGGGCCCAUGACGGUACCGUAAGAAUAAGCACCGGCUAACUACGUGCCAGCAGCCGCGGUAAUACGUAGGGUGCAAGCGUUAAUCGGAAUUACUGGGCGUAAAGCGUGCGCAGGCGGUAAUGUAAGACAGAUGUGAAAUCCCCGGGCUCAACCUGGGAACUGCAUUUGUGACUGCAUUGCUGGAGUGCGGCAGAGGGGGAUGGAAUUCCGCGUGUAGCAGUGAAAUGCGUAGAUAUGCGGAGGAACACCGAUGGCGAAGGCAAUCCCCUGGGCCUGCACUGACGCUCAUGCACGAAAGCGUGGGGAGCAAACAGGAUUAGAUACCCUGGUAGUCCACGCCCUAAACGAUGUCAACUGGUUGUUGGGUCUUCAUUGUACUCAGUAACGAAGACUAACGACGUGAGUAGACCGCCGNGGGAGGACGGCCGCGAGGUAGUAACGUUAAAGGUAAGUUAGUACGGCGUGAGACGUAGACCGACGGACGACGACGAGGGAGGAGG
rnacentral:rRNA from 1 species